rnacentral:piRNA from 1 species
GUCACCUUCGUUGAAUGACAGCUGUCCC